rnacentral:rRNA from 1 species
GACGAACGCUGGCGGCGUGCUUAACACAUGCAAGUCGAACGGAAAGGCCCCUUUGGGGGUACUCGAGUGGCGCACGGGUGAGUAACACGUGAGUAACCUGCCCUUGACUUCGGGAUAACUUCAGGAAACUGGGGCUAAUACCGGAUAGGAAUCCUUGCUGCAUGGUGGGGGUUGGAAAGCUUCGGCGGUUUUGGAUGGACUCGCGGCUUAUCAGCUUGUUGGUGGGGUAGUGGCUUACCAAGGCUUUGACGGGUAGCCGGCCUGAGAGGGCGACCGGCCACAUUGGGACUGAGAUACGGCCCAGACUCCUACGGGAGGCAGCAGUGGGGAAUAUGCACAAUGGGCGGAAGCCUGAUGCAGCAACGCCGCGUGCGGGAUGACGGCCUUCGGGUUGUAAACCGCUUUCAGCAGGGGCGAAGCUUGUGGUGACGGUACCUGCAGAAGAAGCACCGGCUAACUACGUG